rnacentral:rRNA from 1 species
UACGUAGGGCGCAAGCGUUGUCCGGAAUUAUUGGGCGUAAAGAGCUCGUAGGCGGCCUGUUGCGUCCGCUGUGAAAUCCCGGGGCUCAACCCCGGGCCUGCAGUGGAUACGGGCUGGCUAGAGGCAGGCAGGGGAGAACGGAAUUCCCGGUGUAGCGGUGAAAUGCGCAGAUAUCGGGAGGAACACCGGUGGCGAAGGCGGUUCUCUGGGCCUUACCUGACGCUGAGGAGCGAAAGCGUGGGGAGCGAACAGG